CCUACGGGAGGCUGCAGUGGGGAAUAUUGCACAAUGGGGGAAACCCUGAUGCAGCGACGCCGCGUGAGUGAAGAAGUAUUUCGGUAUGUAAAGCUCUAUCAGCAGGGAAGAGAAUGACGGUACCUGAGUAAGAAGCCCCGGCUAACUACGUGCCAGCAGCCGCGGUAAUACGUAGGGGGCAAGCGUUAUCCGGAUUUACUGGGUGUAAAGGGAGCGUAGACGGCGAAGAAAGUCUGAAGUGAAAGCCCGCGGCUCAACCGCGGAACUGCUUUGGAAACUUUUUUGCUGGAGUACCGGAGAGGUAAGCGGAAUUCCUAGUGUAGCGGUGAAAUGCGUAGAUAUUAGGAGGAACACCAGUGGCGAAGGCAGCUUACCAAACUACGACUGACGUUGAGGCACGAAAGCGUGGGGAGCAAACAGGAUUAGAUACCCGAGUAGUC
rnacentral:rRNA from 1 species